rnacentral:rRNA from 1 species
AGAUUGAACGCUGGCGGCAUGCCUUACACAUGCAAGUCGAACGGCAGCACGGGGGCAACCCUGGUGGCGAGUGGCGAACGGGUGAGUAAUGCAUCGGAACGUGCCCAGUAGUGGGGGAUAACUAGGUCGAAGGAUUAGCUAAUACCGCAUACGACCUACGGGUGAAAGCGGGGGAUUCGCAAGAACCUCGCGCUAUCGGAGCGGCCGAUGUCUGAUUAGCUAGUUGGCGGGGUAAAAGCCCACCAAGGCUUCGAUCAGUAGCUGGUCUGAGAGGACGACCAGCCGACACUGGGACUGAGACACGGCCCAGACUCCUACGGGAGGCAGCAGUGGGAAUUUUGGACAAGUGGGCGCAAGCCUGACUCCAGCCAUGCCGCGGUGCGGGAAGAACGGUCCUUCGGGUUACGUAACCGUCGUUUUGGU